rnacentral:rRNA from 1 species
AUUGAACGCUGGCGGCAGGCCUAACACAUGCAAGUCGAGCGGAUGAAGGGAGCUUGCUCCUGGAUUCAGCGGCGGACGGGUGAGUAAUGCCUAGGAAUCUGCCUGGUAGUGGGGGAUAACGUCCUGAAACGGGCGCUAAUACCGCAUCCGUCCUGAGGGAGAAAGUGGGGGAUCUUCGGACCUCACGCUAUCAGAUGAGCCUAGGUCGGAUUAGCUAGUUGGUGGGGUAAAGGCCUACCAAGGCGACGAUCCGUAACUGGUCUGAGAGGAUGAUCAGUCACACUGGAACUGAGACACGGUCCAGACUCCUACGGGAGGCAGCAGUGGGGAAUAUUGGACAAUGGGCGAAAGCCUGAUCCAGCCAUGCCGCGUGUGUGAAGAAGGUCUUCGGAUUGUAAAGCACUUUAAGUUGGGAGGAAGGGCAGUAAGUUAAUACCUUGCUGUUUUGACGUUACCAACAGAAUAAGCACCGGCUAACUUCGUG